rnacentral:rRNA from 1 species
UCACGAUAUUGAGGCAAUUUGCUCGAAGUGCCUGGUUUCAACUUCGAAACCUCUCAGGACGUACUGGCCAAGGUGCAGGCCAAUCCGCUGCAACUGUCCAAUGCUGUUCGCGCCGAAGUGCGUCUGGGCGGCCCUGUGGCCGAACCGGCUGUGGCCGGCAUCUAUCAGCUCGAUGGCAUCGUGCGCCGCGCGCCGUCACUGCAGCUCACGGCUGAUGCGCGUGCCUCGCAAGCCCAGGGGGUGACCGCAUGAUCGACACGAUUUACGGAUUCGGCCACGGCCUGAUCGCCGCGCCCUGGUGGACCAGCAUGGGCUGGCCGGUGGUGUGGGCCCUGAUCAAGAUCGUCGCCGUGGUGCUGCCCCUCAUGGGGGCGGUGGCCUACCUCACGCUCUGGGAGCGCAAGUUACUUGGCUACAUGCACAUCCGCCUUGGGCCCAAUCGGGUGGGACCGAUGGGUUUGCUUCAGCCGAUCGCCGAUGCAUUAAAGCUGAUUGUGAAGGAAGUCGUAACACCAACGGCUUCCAACAAGGUGCUUUAUUUUGUCGGUCCGGUGAUGACCAUCAUGCCGGCUAUGGCAGCGGGGGCACAUGGUGAUUAGAUUAGAAUCGGAACAGUCUUUUUUAUCAUGAUUUACGUGAGCUACCUGUAAAUAGAUUCGAUAACCCUUUACGCCUCUAUCUCUGUCCAAAUCAAAAACAUCUCUGCUGCAGAAGUGGAACAAAAGAAACGGGACGAAAGGGAACAAAAACGUGCAAGCUCCGAAUUGAAGCCCGAGUAAACGGCGGCCGUAACUAUAACGGUCCUAAGGUAGCGAAAUUCCUUGUCGGGUAAGUUCCGACCUGCACGAAUGGCGUAACGACUUCCCCACUGUCUCCAGGAUAUGCUCAGCGAAAUUGAAUUCUCCGUGAAGAUGCGGAGUACCCGCGGUUAGACGGAAAGACCCCGUGCACCUUUACUGCAGCUUCAGAGUGGCAUUAGGAAGAAAUUGUGUAGAAUAGGUGGGAGGCUUUGAAGCACCGGCGCCAGCUGGUGUGGAGCCAUAAUGUGAAAUACCACCCUGUUUGUUUCUGAUGUCUAACCUCGCGCCGUUAGCCGGCGUAGGGACCCUCUGUGGCGGGUAGUUUGACUGGGGCGGUCGCCUCCUAAAGAGUAACGGAGGCGCGCGAUGGUAGGCUCAGGCCGGUUGGAAACCGGCUGUUAGAGUGCAAUGGCAUAAGCCUGCCUGACUGCGAGACUGACGAGUCGAGCAGAGACGAAAGUCGGUCAUAGUGAUCCGGUGGUCCCUCGUGGAAGGGCCAUCGCUCAACGGAUAAAAGGUACGCCGGGGAUAACAGGCUGAUGAUUCCCAAGAGCUCAUAUCGACGGAAUCGUUUGGCACCUCGAUGUCGGCUCAUCACAUCCUGGGGCUGAAGAAGGUCCCAAGGGUUCGGCUGUUCGCCGAUUAAAGUGGUACGUGAGCUGGGUUCAGAACGUCGUGAGACAGUUCGGUCCCUAUCUGCCGCAGGUGUUGGAAAAUUGAGAGGAGCUGACUUUAGUACGAGAGGACCGAGUUGGACGUACCGAUGGUGUUCCAGUUGUUCCGCCAGGGGCAUUGCUGGGUAGCUAAGUACGGACGGGAUAACCGCUGAAAGCAUCUAAGUGGGAAGCCUCCCUCAAAACAAGUUUUCCCUAUUAGGGUCGUGGAAGACUACCACGUUGAUAGGCUGGGUGUGUAAGGGCGGUAACGCUUUGAGCUAACCAGUACUAAUAACCCGAUUGGUUUAUUU